GCAUUUGAACUUUUCCCUUGGUGGAACCUAGCCCCCAUAUGCUGAUGACCAAGGUUUUCAUCCGAUGCAAAAUUCGAUGCACGCACGGAAGACCCGCCUCUACGGUACCAUGGCCUUCACUCCUUGAAUCCAUAGCCCUUCUUGCCGUCGUGUUGUUCACCGAAGUGGAGCUUCCAGUAGCUCCCGAUCAUACCUCCAUAUGAUCUAGUCCCUCCCGGGACUCUGUCGUGUGUAUCGCAUUAUCACGAACUGUUCCACCACGAUCCGCUGCACCAUGCCGCCUCCUAGUGACAUCUCCAUUGCAUUCUGAUCCUUGUGGAAUAAACUCGAAUUGUGAACCCUCCAUGUGUGACCUCUGCCAAUACAUUGCAGGGUCUCUUCCACCUUCGAUUUUGUUCGCUCCUUUGGCAAUCGACAUUCAUCCACCCACUCUUGGGUCACACCUAGAUGAAGCACCGCUCUAGGACAGUCCGUCGCCUAGUAGCUCCCGAAGUCCACCGACUUCACUGUAAUUUGUGCACCAUUGUCUAGAUCCUGGGCCUCUGCCCC
rnacentral:lncRNA from 1 species